CGGAUGGAUGCCAGGUGUGAGGGACACCGCCUAUGAGGACUGCUAUCUGAGUGUUUUUGGAAAGAAAGCCCCAGGGGAAACAUGUCCAGGGAUAGAGAAUGAGCUCCGCUCACACUUUAGAAGCCUGAGUUAGUGCUUGGGUUAUCUGACCACACAGCAGUACAAUUUUAUCCUGAGGAAAAUCAACCUCGUGCAUGAAAACUAGACUCAAGGUUAAAGUAAUCUUCCCAACUGAGUACAGCGCUGGUAUCUGAAGAAGCCCCUCCUGAGAACCCCAGAGCCGCUCCACUGUGACUACUGGGACAGAUGACAAUGUCCCGUCACCUGAAGGGGGAAAUACAUCGCAGAACAUUUAAAAUAUAUUGCAUUACAGAACACUGCGACCGCGGCUAAGUGCUGGGACUGUGGAGAGCCCUGUGCAGGCAGGAGAGGCGGCAAGUCUGGCUGAUGUUUGCCCUUCAGCUGACAUACGUGCGAGGUGCAGCGAUGGGAUUGCAAGGAAACAUGGUCACCUCCUCGGGGUUCCUCUGCUAGGAUCCCAGAGCCGGCUUAAAGGCACAGCCUCAGGACUGAACAGAAAACAAACUUCCCAGCGUCUUCCUCCUCAGCAAAGCUGUGAGAGCCCAGCAAAUAGACACUUUCCUCAGAUACCAGUUUUCUCUAAAUGUUUGUUGAAGCAUAAGCCUCUUUGGUACCUGCAAUGUUGGCUCCAUCAACUGGCACUGAGAAGAGCAGAGCCGAUGGAGACACAUAGAAUCACCCAUCAUACACUUCAAUCAUGAAUGGAGGAUCUGAGGUCCAGCUGAGGCAAGAGACUGAUGGGAUCACGGCAUCUGUUCAGCUCAUAAGACCUGCAAUGCCAAGUGUUUAGAGAGGAAGUGAGGACCACCUGGCCAGCUGCUUAGACUUCCCUGCAUAGCAAGACGGGUCUGGAAUCUCUGAAGAUGUGCUCUCCCACACAAUGCAAAAAAGGAAAACUUUAUGGUUUUUAUAAAUUGGUAGGUGAUAGGUAGAUGUCUGGUAGCCUCUGCUAUAAAUAGAGAUAAAUAGUCUCAGUCUCAUUUCAUGCCAUCCAAUACUGCUAAGGGAUUUAGUUCAGUUGAGCAAAUGGGGAUAUAGCUCAACCUUGGGAAGCCCUCAAACUUUACAAAGGAAAGGGAACUCAUGAUGUAAAUGACAAUGGGUAAUGAGACUUAGUAUGCAAAUACCUUUUAUAAAUAAAAGUUUUCAAAAGCAACUAACAGGGACACGAUAAAUAUAUGGUCAGGAAAUUCAUAAAAGUUAGAA